CAGUAGCCGCGGUAAAACGGAGGGUGCAAGCGUUAAUCGGAAUUACUGGGCGUAAAGCGUGCGUAGGCGGUUCGUUAAGUCUGUUGUGAAAGCCCCGGGCUCAACCUGGGAAUGGCAAUGGAUACUGGCGAGCUAGAGUGUGUCAGAGGAUGGUGGAAUUCCCGGUGUAGCGGUGAAAUGCGUAGAGAUCGGGAGGAACAUCAGUGGCGAAGGCGGCCAUCUGGGACAACACUGACGCUGAGGCACGAAAGCGUGGGGAGCAAACAGGAUUAGAUACCCCAGUAGUCCCUGUCUCUUAUAC
rnacentral:rRNA from 1 species